UUUUUUGUGGGUUUUCAAUUUUUGAAAAGAGAUUUUAUGUUAUUAGCUUUUAGGUAUUAAUUAGUUCAUCUUAAACAAUUAAACCUAUAUAUAAAGAGCCAAACAAUUGCAUAGUUUAUUAGCGGGAAGUAUCACGUGUUACCAAACCCAAUUUUACAUUGUGCAAUUGCAUUUUGAUUGGUUAUUAAGAGUUGGCCAACUAUCA
rnacentral:lncRNA from 1 species